UAAUACGGAGGAGGCUAGCGUUGUUCGGAAUUACUGGGCGUAAAGCGUGCGUAGGCUGUUGCCUAAGAUGAGUGUGAAAGCCCGGAGCUCAACUCCGGAAUUGCGCUCAUGACUGGGUUACUGGAGUCCGAGAGAGGUGAGUGGAAUUCCCAGUGUAGAGGUGAAAUUCGUAGAUAUUGGGAAGAACACCAGUGGCGAAGGCGGCUCACUGGCUCGGUACUGACGCUGAUGCACGAAAGCGUGGGGAGCAAACAGG
rnacentral:rRNA from 1 species